GUCACAAGGUAUGGCAGCGGGCCCAGCGCAAAACCAUCCGGAAGAGCUGGCUGCACUGUCACUCUGAGCUUGGGCCAGCAACAGCCUGCAAAAGGGGAAGCAAGAAACUUCCCCCCAUUCCUCCCUUUCUACCCAUUCAUUGCUUCCUGCCUCUUCUCUUUGAUGACCUCAGCUCUCCCUCCUUCUGGCUGUUGUGUGUGCCAGGCCAGAGGCUCAGUGGAGUCAGGUUCUGCCUGUCCUCAGGACUUCCCUGUCAGACAUGGUAGAGGCAUUAAGCACACCUUGAGGGGCAUCAGAGCCAUGGAGCUCUUGGGCCAGCUUUUGGUAAGUUAGGGAAGCCUUCCUGGAGGAGAAAGCACAGCCUUCAGGUGAGGCUUCUCAGAGUGAAGCUGUUUUUGUGGUCUUUCUAGGUCACACUCCACUGCUGAAGGAAGUCAGGACUGGGACUCAAACAGAGCAAGAACCUGGAGCUGGAGCUGACGCCAAGGCCAUGGAGGGGCGGUGCUUACAGGCUUGUUCCCCAUGGCUUGCUCAGCCUGCUUUCUUAUAGCUCCCAGGACUGCCAGUCCAGGCACGGCAACACCCACAGUCAUACUCAACACAUAGAAUCCACAGACGUAAAUGCAUCUCUGAAGGGCCUGCUAAGGCUAGAAGUGUGCCCAACUCCUGGAUGUUGUGCAACAAGACCUUUCCUGGAGGAAUACGACAUACACAUCUGUCUGCUCACCCCAGAUAGGGAACGCACAAGAGACCAAGUAUCUGUGCUAUCGAAGCGAGCACAGCCCUUCUUCCUUUAAGUUGCUUCUGGCGAGGUAUUUUAUCACAACAAGGAGAAAUAUAACUAGUACAGCUUUGACCGUCAUUUAGGAUGGAGGCAACCUACACCGCUACAGAGAACUUGUCCAUGGACGGGACCCUGCCAAAGACCGUCUCGGCUGAGAACUCGGAUUCUUUGCUCCCCAAGGCCCCACCCAGCCUCAGACUUCGUGGAUAGGGGCGAGCUGGGCUGUCCUGAUGCUGCUUCAACUAUACUGCCCUGGGGACGAGAGGCUAGCAAGGCCCUGUUUGUGAGCUUGUCCUAAUUAUCCCAGGAUUCAUUUGCCAGGGUGGUGACUUCACGUGCCAUAAUGGCACUGGCGGCAGGUCCAUCUACGGAGAGAAGUUUGAGGAUGAGAACUUCAUCCUGAAGCACACAGGUCCUGGCAUCUUGUCCAUGGAAAAUGCUGGACCAAACACAAAUGUUUUUUAUCUGCACCAGUUUUUUUUUUUAUCUGCACCGUCAAGACUAAGUGGGUGGAUGGCAAAUGUGCUCUUUGGGAAGGUGAAAGAAGAUAUGGACAUUGUGGAAGCCAUGGAAUGUUUCAGGUCCAGGAACGGCAAGACCAGCAAGAAGAUCGCCAUUUCCGACUUGGGCAACUCUAAUUCAUACCCACCAGACCAUUCCCUCUGUAGCUCAGGAGAGCAUCCCUCGCCCCCAUCUGCUCGCAAUUCCCUUUAAUCUCUGCUCUCACUGAAAUUCUUUGGGUUCCAUAUUUUCCUCAUUCCCAUCCAAGUCUAGCUGGAUUGCAGAGUUAAGUUUAUGAUUAUGAAUAAAAACUAAGUAA